rnacentral:lncRNA from 1 species
GAAGGACUGAGUGUGUGUGGAGGAAACUGUGACCAGGAGCAGGAACGUGACUGUACGAAAAGAGUGUGGUUAGCAAUGCCUCCUAACUAGUUCAGAACUCGUCCAGAUGAAGUUAAAGAAAGGGACUGAGCAAGUGAUACCAAUCAUUGCUCAUGACUGAUGUGUGAAAACUUUUUCUCUGGAUGCUAAUUGUGAGACCAUUCUGUGUCAACAGAUCUACUUAAUAUCAAGGGAAAAGAACCUCAAGGACGUAUGUAGUAGACUCAAGGCAUAAAGUGUGUGUCAAAUACAGUUGUACACCAACUUCCUGUGAACACAUUCUGCUGCUUUUGAAGAAGAAAAUAAACAAGGAACUGGAGGAGAAAAAGGGGACAACAGGCAAUACAGAAGAUAAUUUAGAUCAUUAUCUGAACUUCCACCAGAUGAAUGACUUAAACCUGUCAUCAGCAACUGCAAUGCCCAGAGAACCAACUGUGUGUGAAGGGACUGAAGUGAAAAUUCAAGAGUGUCCUGUGGUCCUUCAGAUUUGUCAUUGUGAGCUGUGA